rnacentral:rRNA from 1 species
GACGAACGCUGGCGGCGUGCUUAACACAUGCAAGUCGAACGGUGAAGCGCCUUCCUUUUUGGUGGGUGUGGAUGAGUGGCGAACGGGUGAGUAACACGUGAGUAACCUGCCCCCUUCUUCUGGAUAACCGCAUGAAAGUGUGGCUAAUACGGGAUAUUCUGGGUCUGUCGCAUGAUGGGUCUGGGAAAGAUAUUGUUUCGGUGGGGGAUGGGCUCGCGGCCUAUCAGCUUGUUGGGGGGGUGAUGGCCUACCAAGGCGGUGACGGGUAGCCGGCCUGAGAGGGUGGACGGUCACACUGGGACUGGGACACGGCCCAGACUCCUACGGGAGGCAGCAGUGGGGAAUAUUGCACAAUGGGCGCAAGCCUGAUGCAGCGACGCCGCGUGAGGGAUGGAGGCCUUCGGGUUGUGAACCUCUUUCGCCAGUGAAGCAGGCCUGCCUCGUUUGUGGGUGGGUUGACGGUAGCUGGAUAAGAAGCGCCGGCUAACUACGUG